rnacentral:rRNA from 1 species
CAUUUCCUACGGGGGGCAGCAGUGAGGAAUAUUGGUCAAUGGUCGGGAGACUGAACCAGCCAAGCCGCGUGAGGGAGGAAGGUACAGAGUAUCGUAAACCUCUUUUGUCAGGGAACAAAGACUGGGACGCGUCCCCGGAUGAGUGUACCUGAAGAAAAAGCAUCGGCUAACUCCGUGCCAGCAGCCGCGGUAAUACGGAGGAUGCGAGCGUUAUCCGGAUUUAUUGGGUUUAAAGGGUGCGCAGGCGGUCUGUUAAGUCAGCGGUCAAAGCCCGGGGCUCAACCCCGGCCCGCCGUUGCAACUGG